GAUAUAGGUAGAGACAGAGAGAGGGAUAGAGGUAGAGACAGAGAGAGGGAUAGAGGUAGAGACAGAGAGAGGGAUAGAGGUAGAGACAGAGAGAGGGAUAGAGGUAGAGACAGAGAGAGGGAUAUAGGUAGAGACAGAGAGAGGGAUAGAGGUAGAGACAGAGAGAGGGAUAGAGGUAGAGACAGAGAGAGGGAUAGAGGUAGAGACAGAGAGAGGGAUAGAGGUAGAGACAGAGAGAGGGAUAGAGGUAGAGACAGAGAGAGGGAUAGAGGUAGAGACAGAGAGAGGGAUAGAGGUAGAGACAGAGAGAGGGAUAGAGGUAGAGACAGAGAGAGGGAUAUAGGUAGAGACAGAGAGAGGGAUAUAGGUAGAGACAGAGAGAGGGUUAUAGGUAGAGACAGAGAGAGGGAUAUAGGUAGAGACAGAGAGAGGGAUAGAGGUAGAGACAGAGAGGGA